rnacentral:lncRNA from 1 species
GUUCGUUAGUUACUGAUGAUGGAGCAUUAUCCAAAAAGCUUUUAAUAAAAGUUAUUCAAGGUGUUUUAAGCUAGUAUUUAUUUAUAAAGAGAGAAAUGCAAUAACCCUUCACCAUGCAGAAAUUAGACUGUUUGUCCAGUAUGUGGACAAUGUAUGUAUAAUUUGGAAACAAAAAGAGUGCAACACCAGUAUAAUAAAUGUGCUAAAUGACAAGAUCAUGGAGCUCACAGUUAGGUUAGAACAAUCUAGCAAUGAAACAUUCCACUUUUUGAAUGUCCAAGUAAAAACAGAAAAAGGUAAAUAUACCACCACUAUCUGUAAAAAAACCUACCUACCUACUGAUUAUUAUACCAAUCUGGUCUAAUGAUUACAUGCCAUAUAAACUUGCAGUGUUUAGAGCUAUGUUCAUAAGGAUACACACCCAUAUAAACAAAUGGCACAAUAAAUAUGAAGAGCUUUUGUAUGUAUAUAAUCUAGGCCACAAGUAUAGGUACACUAUUAAAAUCAUGGAAGGCAUCUGGAAUAAGGUGAGUAAACAGCUAGAAAGGCCCCAUGAACCGGACAAUCUUGACCCACCAAAACCACCAAACACCUACAUUCUCAACAGUCGCAUAUCACAAAACCACUGAUAAAAUCCUUAGCAAACAUAUGAGAGGAAAAAUAAGAAAAAUCCUUAGAAGAAGAGCCCCACCCUAUUUGACACUCUAUGCAACAAUAAAGAUCCUAUACCAAAUAAUAAAAAAGCCGGUAUUUAUUCAAUACCUAUAUGUAACAAAAAUGAGGACAGUAUGAGUUAUUACAUUGGCAGCACUAAGAGAAACCUUGAUGUAAGGUUAAAAGAACACAAAGC